rnacentral:rRNA from 1 species
CAGGUUUGAUCAUGGCUCAGGAUGAACGCUAGCUACAGGCUUAACACAUGCAAGUCGAGGGGAAACGACAUCGAAAGCUUGCUUUUGAUGGGCGUCGACCGGCGCACGGGUGAGUAACGCGUAUCCAACCUGCCCAUCACUUGGGGAUAACCUUGCGAAAGUAAGACUAAUACCCAAUGACGUCUCUAGAAGACAUCUGAAAGAGAUUAAAGAUUUAUCGGUGAUGGAUGGGGAUGCGUCUGAUUAGCUUGUUGGCGGGGUAACGGCCACCAAGGCGACGAUCAGUAGGGGUUCUGGAGAGGAAGGUCCCCCACAUUGGAACUGAGACACGGUCCAAACUCCUACGGGAGCA